rnacentral:rRNA from 1 species
UGUAGUAAUACAAGGCAGACGGCUCAGUAACGCGUAGUCAACCUACCCUAUGGACGGGGAUAACCUCGGGAAACUGAGAAUAAUACCCGAUAGAACAUUAUGCCUGGAAUAGUUUAUGUUUCAAAUAAUUUAUUGCCGUAGGAUGGGACUGCGGCCUAUCAGUUUGUUGGUGAGGUAAUGGCCCACCAAGACUAUUACAGGUACGGGCUCUGAGAGGAGUAGCCCGGAGAUGGGUACUGAGACACGGACCCAGGCCCUAUGGGGCGCAGCAGGCGAGAAAACUUUGCAAUGUGCGAAAGCACGACAAGGUUAAUCCGAGUGGUUUCUGCUAAAGGAACCUUUUGUCAGUCCCAGAAACACUGAUGAGUAAGGGGUGGGCAAGUUCUGGUGUCAGCCGCCGCGGUAAAACCAGCACCUCAAGUGGUCAGGAUGAUUAUUGGGCCUAAAGCAUCCGUAGCCUGCUUUGUAAGUUUUCGGUUAAAUCCAUACGCUCAACGUAUGGGCUGCCGGGAAUACUGCAAAGCUAGGGAGUGGGAGAGGUAGACGGUACUCGGUAGGAAGGGGUAAAAUCCUUUGAUCUAUUGAUGACCACCUGUGGCGAAGGCGGUCUACCAGAACACGUCCGACGGUGAGGGAUGAAAGCUGGGGGAGCAAACCGGAUUAGAUACCCGGGUAGUCCCAGCUGUAAACUAUGCAAACUCAGUGAUGCAUUGGCUUGAUGCCAAUGCAGUGCUGCAGGGAAGCCGUUAAGUUUGCCGCCUGGGAAGUACGUACGCAAGUAUGAAACUUAAAGGAAUUGGCGGGA